GGAAACACAUUAACUCUUAUCCUUGCAACGGAAAUUCCAAUUAUUUACGUACACCGGCAUAUUGCAUCGCUAAAAAAAUAUAUAAAGUGCAUAAUAACUCGAAAAAUACGAUUUUCGACUUAUUAACCUCCGGAAUAUGCGGAAUUUCAUCCUUGAUGGUUUUGUACGCUCGGAUUUUUUUCGUUUAUUUAAUAUUAAAGACAGUACGAGCAGCUAAAAUGUCUUUAUUUUUACACGAUAUUUUUCCGCCCGGAAUAUAAUCACAUCUAAAAAGUGACAAUUUCCCGCGGGAAAAAUUAUAGAACAUUAAAACAUUAAAAGUCGAUUUCCUGACAUUUUCGUAUUUUUCUUUGCGCCAUUAAUGUUUAUUCUUUCGGGGUCGCGGUAUACGAUUAAAAAAAAAAAAAAAACAUGCCCGUAACGCAAUAAAAAACGGGAAAAUUAACGAAAUGUAUCAUUUCCAAAUCGUAUGAUAUUACGGCUUUUCAAAAUGCGCUGUACAACCGGACUCCGUUCAGAAUCGUUUUUCGUCGGCAAAAAUUAAUUUCCUCUCCAUCUUCCCGACUUCUCACCUGUAUAACUGCAGCAGCCCGCCCAUCGUGCGAAGUCCGUUUAUUUUGCUUUUGAAUAUGUUUCUAUGAGUGAUUAUUUCAACGCCUACAAAAACCGGCUUAUCGAGCUUUUCAAUGGCUUAUAACGAAGUUUUUUCAUCGAUCAUUUCGUAGACGGGGGAAAAUAAAACCAAACCAAACAAACUUCGGUUUUCCGUGUCUUCUCGACUAUUAUAAUCCAUCGUAUUCGCGUACUUUGUGCUAAAUUCAAUGUUGUGCAAUAGUCGA